ACUGUAUUGGAAUUUCUCAAUAGCUGUUCAUGUGAUGCUAUGACAAACCUGGCUUGCUUUACUUUUUAUUUUUUUUAAUUUUAUUUUGUGUUUAACACAAUAAUUUGUUGCUUAUUUUCCACCGUAACUCCCAGUUAUAUACAGAAAAAAGAUUUCAACUGUUGUGUAUCUGACUCUUUUAAUUGAGCAAAUGGUGAUGUCCUAGUUUUUAGACCUAAGGUCUGUUUAUUGCAAUACUUUAAAAGGAAGAUGUUGCUCUAAGUGCUGUUGUUAGUUUUAAAUACAGAUUUUAUGCUUGUUCUUAAUAUGCUGUGGUUAAACCAUGGCACAAAAUUAUUAAAAAUUAUUAAAUCCAUUUGUCUCCUGUUGGAUUUAUUUUCCCUUUGAAGUGAAAAAAACAAAAAAGCAUGGAACACUAGAGUGGCUUUGGUAAAAGUAAGUACUUGUCUCUUUCCCUUGCUGUGUCUGAUGAGGGUUUAAGAUCAGUCUUGUGACCCUCCCACUGGUGAUUAAUGCUGGGACGGUUCUGCCCUGCCUCUGCCAUAGGAUGGGCUGGAGCAGGAGACAGGGAGACAGCCUGUCACACACCGGAGGUCUUUUCGAGGAAGAGGUUUGCUGUGGGAGCCAUGGUCCAUCCCACUUCAGGCAGCCUGCUGUGGAGCUGCCUUUACAUUCCACUCAGAGAGGAGCCAGGGGGGGUUCCCCUUGCUGCUGUUCUUUUCAAAGACUUAGUUCUUUAAAUGUUACAGUACUUUGUUUUGGGUCAAAAGCAAUCAUAUUUUUUUCCUAUAACCACCCUGAGCUUGCUCUCCUCCAUGUACAGCACUUUAAUUCUUCUUUAGUAUGUAGAAAAUGCUAGUUCCUUAGUCCUUAGAAGUACUCUAAAUCUCCAAGCUUCUGCUCCUCCUCUGCUGUCUGAACCCUGAACUCCCUGGAAACUGCAUUUUUUGAGCCUGCUUUGAUCUUUUACUUAAUCUGGUUUUAAUUGUAUUUAUAUUUAGUUUAUAAUAUGCCAUUCUGUUUGAUUGUGUUUUAAUAUCACUGCCAAUGGUUGCAACUCGACUGUAAAUGGGAUGUCUCAUCUCAGUAGGGUUACUUUUUUUCUGCUGAAAGAUUAAUAUAGUGGCUGCUGCAGUCCUGUGAAACCUCUAGGUCUGGCUUCCAGGCUCCCAGCAGUAUUGUGUCUCAUUACAAACACCCUGGUUUUAACAUCCCAAACCCUUGUCUUCCAAAGACCCCUCUGUAAUGAGACUUCGUUACUUAGACAAAAAUUAAUUAGGCUUCUCUCAUUAUCACUGUUUUGAUCGGUUGUGCUUUAAGUGAGUUCUAAUUAAAAUGCACAUUUUAAAACCCUUACUGCUGAAUCCUCUCCUAAUAGCUCGCUUCUACUGCGGCGGUGCCCUGCUUUUUGUGCAGUUUGCAUUGUGCUGCUUUUGCAGAACUCUAGCAUUGAUUAAGAAAACUAAAAACUUGCAUGAUUUUUUUUUUCUGCUUGUUUUCUACAUUUUUUUCCAGACUGGCUGCCAAAUGAUUGCUCCUGAGAGCCUGAGAAUGGGGAUUAGAGCUGAAACACUGAAUUCUUUACAUGUGGUAAAAUUGAUGAGCUGAGUUUCUCAGUGUCCUGUAUAGUCAGUAACCCUGCUUGUUCCCAGAAUGUUCCAAAACAUAAGGGGGAAGCUGUAUGCUGCAGUUUUUACUAUUUAACUGCAAAUUUCUGCUUGCCUUAGGUGUUCCAAAUUGCCUUAAAUACAUUGUUUAUUUUGGCAGGACUGCACAAUCCAUCCCAGGGAUUCCUGCCACAUGCUAAGCCUGUGGAUGCUCUGCUGUGGCUAGAGGGGGACAUUUGAAGGCUGGCUCUCCUUAAUAAAGGGGCUAAUCUGUAAAUCA
ensembl:lncRNA